rnacentral:rRNA from 1 species
GUGAACGCUGGCGGUAGGCCUAACCCAUGCAAGUCGCACGGCAGCACAGUAAGCGCUUGCUCUUACGGGUGGCGAGUGGCGGACGGGUGAGGAAUACAUCGGAAUCUACUUUUUCGUGGGGGAUAACGUAGGGAAACUUACGCUAAUACCGCAUACGACCUACGGGUGAAAGCAGGGGAUCUUCGGACCUUGCGCGAUUGAAUGAGCCGAUGUCGGAUUAGCUAGUUGGCGGGGUAAAGGCCCACCAAGGCGACGAUCCGUAGCUGGUCUGAGAGGAUGAUCAGCCACACUGGAACUGAGACACGGUCCAGACUCCUACGGGAGGCAGCAGUGGGGAAUAUUGGACAAUGGGCGCAAGCCUGAUCCAGCCAUACCGCGUGGGUGAAGAAGGCCUUCGGGUUGUAAAGCCCUUUUGCUGGGAAAGAAAAGCAGCAGGUUAAUACCCCGCUGUUCUGACGGUACCCAAAGAAUAAGCACCGGCUAACUUCGUG